rfam:Gossypium raimondii Chr05_contig_997, whole genome shotgun sequence.
CCAUAGUGUGGGCAUUUCUAGACAAAUGCUUUAAAACAUUCCCAAGCCUCAUGAAAACUUUCCCCUUCCAUUUGUCUAAAAAUAGAAAUUUCUCUUCCUAGUUG